GAUGAACGCUGUCAGAAUGCUUAACACAUGCAAGUCUUUGGCGAAGCUGUGCUUGCACAGCCUAGCCAAGGCGGACGGGUGAGUAACGCGUAAGGAACUUGCCCUGCAGUCAGGGAUAACAGACGGAAACGACUGAUAAGACCUGGUAAAGUCAGGCGGACUCAUGUCCAGCCUGAUGAAAAGAGAUGCUGCAGGAGAGCCUUGCGUCCUAUUAGCUUGUUGGUGGGGUAACGGCCCACCAAGGCGAUGAUAGGUAGCCGGCCUGAGAGGGUGGACGGCCACAAGGGGACUGAGAUACGGCCCUUACUCCUACGGGAGGCAGCAGUGGGGAAUAUUGGACAAUGGGGGCAACCCUGAUCCAGCAAUUCUGUGUGCACGAUGAAGGUUUUCGGAUUGUAAAGUGCUUUCAGCAGGGAAGAAAAAAAUGACGGUACCUGCAGAAGAAGCGACGGCUAAAUACGUG
rnacentral:rRNA from 1 species